AUUCUCUCAAGCAUAACUAAAUGUAUCAAUGUCAGUCAGCUUUGUCUGUGAUAGAGUGAAAAGCUUUACAUCAUGUACAAUGCUUAUUUAAGUGCAUCCACAGCCUGUCACUAAAUUGACCACACCCAGGCAUAAUGAAAAGUGCCAGUCUCAGCACCUGUCUCUCCUUUGAAACUUGGAGCUGGUCUUAUUAAGGGUAAUGAGGUGCAGCUGUUCUGGCAGUGUUACCUUCACCCAGUCAUGUGCUCAGAAGCUUUGUGAGUGCAUGUGGUUGCUUUUGGCUUAGUGUGAAAGUGUAGCCCAUGUGGAUGUUUUGGAGGUGAGGAGGUCUGUGAAAGGAGCCUAGGAAAGGGUUGCAGAAGUGCUUCUAAUGUGGUAAAUUGAAAAUUUCCUUCUGCAUUGCUAAGACAGCUUCUUUUCCCUUUUAGGCAAGGCAGCAGAAGUGGACUGAGAACCAAGUCAUUUUUUCAGGAGUAAGAGGGACUUGCCACAGAGUACCUGCAACACUGAGAGUGAAGGUCAGAUGACUUCCAGUUUGGACAACUGGAGGAUGAGGACCUCAGGACAUGCUGAACACCUUUAAUGAAGAAACAUGUUCCUAGCAGAGGAGAAUGCUGGAGUAAAUAGAACCAAAGUAAACAAAAUAUUUGCAGGUCACCAUGUUGGUUCUGUUAUUAAAGAAAAUAUGGCCCAGAAGCAUUCCAGACAGAUUCGCUGCAAUCCGUGUCUGGAAGAUUCCUGCUGCUUCCCAAAGUGUCUUAAAGGAAAAGGUUCAUCAAAGACUGGAAGCAACCAAGGGCAUGCUUUUGUAAUCCCUAGAACCAAGACUGUUAAUUUCACCAAGAAUCACUUGAAACGUGGUCCAAAUCCUGCUGAGGUUAAAUGUGAUCCAUUGCAGCAACAGGACCAUGGGAAAACUGGUAUCUCAAAAUCAUGCAUCUCUAACGCUAAUGUGAAGCCUAUUUGCUUUGUUCACCAGUAAAAAAUACCGCAGUAAUGCAUUAGAUGCUGAGAAUAUUUAAACCUGGUAACAGGAUUGAAAGCCAUUUAGAAUAUUAUUUUAGGUAACAAAUAGCAUGCUUUGGAUGUAGACAACCAAUCUUAAGCAUCAGAAGAGAGUAUGCCUUUGGAAGCAGACACUAUAUCGUCUCUUUGGAUGCUGCCUGUGCAGAGGUUCAUCUUUCCAUGCCCGUGAGAGGCCUUUCAGCCUCUCACUAUAGCAACAUUUGCCACAGGUUGAAGCGACAAUACAUAUAACCAACUUAAAUAUUCAGCUUCAGCUACAUGGUGACAUUUGGAUGGACAAUGUGUGCAGCAAGUUGUAACAUUUCUUCCCAAACAAAUCUAGAAGUCUGCUGGGAAAAUGCAGCACUUAAUUGCUGAAGCCUGACUCAUGAAAAUGACUGCUCUCUACACAUAGCUCUCCACUGACUUGACUGUAUUUCUUCAUAAAAUGACAGCAGUUGGUGUAACAAGGUCAUGCCUACAACAACAUUUCUGAAGUGCACCAUACCACACAGCAAAGAACACCACUUCGUUUCUCAGGAAGGUUCCCUUUGCUUUUUUGGGGUGGGCUGAAGGGCUUACAUAUUUGUGUGUGUGUAUGUUUAUAGAUUUAGAACGUAUACAACUUUAUUUUUCUCUUUUAACUUCUUUGGAAAUACAAAGCUAAACAAGACUUUGGAGUGACUAAGAAACAUGUAGGUGAGAGAUCUGUCAGCUCUUAAUUGAAGGAUGGCAAGCGCUAAGUUCUUACAAAAAGCAUUUCUUUUCCUGUAAUGUUUCAGCAAAAUUAGUUGUGUGACAGAAGCUCAAAAGCAAAGAUAUGCAUUCUCAUCUAGGCAAGACUGACUCGCUGAAGGGACUUUUGCCUCAGUACAAAUUAAAAUCAAACUCAGCACACUGCCAAGAUGAGAAAUCACUUAUUUCAGUAUAAAUCGAGAUUAACUUGCCUGAUAACUGCAAUAUUCUAAAAAAGAUCCAUUUUCAUGUAAUUCACAGAGCCCUGUAGAGAAUUUGAAUUGCUAAGUUAAAACUGAAGGAGCAGCAUAUAAAAAUCUUCUACAACCACACUGUUCAACUUCGUAUAUCAGAAACACACAAGAAAACCCAUGUAUAGAGGGUAUUGGUGUGGCCUAUUUGGGAGAGGGGUGGAGGGAUGGUGUGUGUUUGUGAGAGUCACAGGCCAGCCACCUGUACCAUGGCUCUGCCAUGCAUGGAAGACAAGGCAAUUACAUGUGUUUAUCUACAAUCUGCGCUUCGCAAACCAUACAGACAUGCUUGUCAGUGAGUUCCUGCAGGGAAAUACCAACCACUGGAAAAACUUUAACGUAGGAGAUCAGACCUGUAGGAAUCCCAGAAAACAGUGAUCUUUCUCCAGCUGUGGUGCUUUGGUUUACCUGUUUUUCACAUGUGCACCAGGAUGAUGACUACUUUCAAGAUACUGUUUACUCUUACUUUGGACCAAGGAGCUCUGUGCAAUAUACAAAGAAAGAAUACAGUCAGCUGCAGGCACAAUACAAAAAUUCAAAUUCCAUUAACUGGAAACAUUAGACAUAUUAAUAACAUCUUCUAAAAAGAAUUGGUGCUCCUUAAAAUAACAGUUCUUGUCACUUUAACGCAGAUCAAGAGUAACACAUCUCAGGAUCAUGCAGUUGCACUGAUUAACAAUUGGCAUUAAAAGGUACUAGAAGGGAGCUACGUGACUCCAUCAUGUUUUAGUUUUUUGUGUGCCCCAUGACUAUGUCAUAGCUUCAGUUCAGCACAAAGCAACAUGUAAUUUUCAUGUUUCUUAUCUCCAGCUGGGCACCAGUUAUCUUUAAUUAUAGGCAGGAAGAUUCCUGAAAAGGUAUUUCUACUGGGAGAACACACAAACUGUAUCAGUGAUUCUUACCAGUGAAAACGGUCAGAAAGGUUAUUUAUUUCAGUAUUUAAGAAUAGGUAAAAUACUAACUGAGCUUUCUUACGUAUAAAAGGCAAAGAAAAUAAGCUUUAUUCACUUGAUGACUUGCAUUAAGCUGUGUGUUUGUGGACUGGAGCUGAGUGGGAACUGAAGUGAAAUUCUGUAAUACAUCACUGGUUUCACUGAACACAGGUAGGCUGGGGUUUUCUUAGUUUGAAAUGUCUUUCUCAAAGUACUUUGUUAGCUUACUGAUGUUCCUAUUUCCUAGCACAUGUUGCAGACUUAGUAUAAUGAGUAUUAGAGAAGGGAAAGAAAAAGAAAUUCAAUGUCAUACUGAAAUUCCUGGAAGGCAGGAAAAGGACCAUUACAGGAUCACACUCUAAUAAAAUCAGUACCGGUUAUUCA
rnacentral:lncRNA from 14 species